UACGUAGGGUGCAAGCGUUGUCCGGAAUUAUUGGGCGUAAAGAGCUCGUAGGCGGCCUGUCGCGUCGGCUGUGAAAACCCGGGGCUCAACCCCGGGCCUGCAGUCGAUACGGGCAGGCUAGAGUCCGGCAGGGGAGACGUGGAAUUCCUGGUGUAGCGGUGAAAUGCGCAGAGUAUCAGGAGGAACACCGGUGGCGAAAGCGGCUCCCUGGCCCGAUACUGACGCUCAUGUACGAAAGCGUGGGGAGCAAACAGG
rnacentral:rRNA from 1 species